rnacentral:rRNA from 1 species
AGAGUUUGAUCAUGGCUCAGGACGAACGCUGGCGGCGUGCUUAACACAUGCAAGUCGAACGAAAAGACGGAAAGAGCUUGCUCUUUUCAGAAUUGAGUGGCAAACGGGUGAGUAACACGUAAACAACCUGCCUUCAGGAUGGGGACAACAGACGGAAACGACUGCUAAUACCGAAUAAGUUCCAAGGGCCGCAUGGCCCAUGGAAGAAAAGGUGGCCUCUACCUGUAAGCUAUCGCCUGAAGAGGGGUUUGCGUCUGAUUAGCUGGUUGGAGGGGUAACGGCCCACCAAGGCGACGAUCAGUAGCCGGUCUGAGAGGAUGAACGGCCACACUGGAACUGAGACACGGUCCAGACUCCUACGGGAGGCAGCAGUGGGGAAUCUUCCGCAAUGGGCGAAAGCCUGACGGAGCAACGCCGCGUGAGUGAUGACGGCCUUCGGGUUGUAAAACUCUGUGAUCCGGGACGAAAAGGCAGAGUGCGAAGAACAAACUGCAUUGACGGUACCGGAAAAGCAAGCCACGGCUAACUACGUGCCAGCAGCCGCGGUAAUACGUAGGUGGCAAGCGUUGUCCGGAAUUAUUGGGCGUAAAGCGCGCGCGGGCGGCUUCCCAAGUCCCUCUUAAGAGUGCGGGGCUUAACCCCGUGAUGGGAAGGAAACUGGGAAGCUGGAGUAUCGGAGAGGAAAGUGGAAUUCCUAGUGUAGCGGUGAAAUGCGUAGAGAUUAGGAAGAACACCGGUGGCGAAGGCGACUUUCUGGACGAAAACUGACGCUGAGGCGCGAAAGCGUGGGGAGCAAACAGGAUUAGAUACCCUGGUAGU